rnacentral:rRNA from 1 species
CCUACGGUGGCAGCAGUGAGGAAUAUUGGUCAAUGGUCGGGAGACUGAACCAGCCAAGCCGCGUGAGGGAUGAAGGUACAGAGUAUCGUAAACCUCUUUUGUCAGGGAACAAAGGCGGGGACGCGUCCCCGGAUGAGUGUACCUGAAGAAAAAGCAUCGGCUAACUCCGUGCCAGCAGCCGCGGUAAUACGGAGGAUGCGAGCGUUAUCCGGAUUUAAGGGGUGUAAAGGGUGCGCAGGCGGUCUGUUAAGUCAGCGGUGAAAGGCCGGGGCUCAACCCCGGCCCGGCCGUUGAAACUGGCAGUCUCGAGUUGGAGAGAGGUAGGCGGAAUGCGCGGUGUAGCGGUGAAAUGCAUAGAUAUCGCGCAGAACUCCGAUUGCGAAGGCAGCAUGCCGGCUCCACACUGACGCUGAGGCACGAAAGCGUGGGUAUCGAACAGGAUUAGAUACCCCUGUAGUC